AGGAGUGAAUGGGUGGUAGGUGUAUAGUGAGGGACGAGGAAGGAGAGGGAUGUAUUGAGUAAAAGAAAGAAAGGAGAAACGGGGGAAAAAAGGAGAGCGAGAAAAUGGUCACCACUUUCCUGUUCCUUUUUCUACUUCCUUUUUAUCAAUGAUAAGUCGUGGAAAGUACGUUGAGAUAAAAUUGAAAUUGCACUAUAUCAGCGUCGAUGCAAAGAGGUAGGAGGAAAGAAAAAGUAAAUAAAAAGAAAAAAAAGAAAAAAAAAAUAAGAAAAAAAAAAACAAAAACAAAACAAAACUUCCAUUUGCCAUUACGGAGAAGUACAAAUGGAAUUUGCCUGGCUUAUCGGUGAUCCACUGUUCUCGAAAACGAUUACGAACGUCGAUUUCAUACAUACGUUCUUACAUAUUUCGUAGAAUAGCUACAUGCUACACCCGUUAUCGUUAGCGCGAUAAUAAGUAAUCGAGAUACACAUACCUUCGUAGAAAUAUCAAGAGCGAUAAUGACGAGAGCAUGUAUGGGAAAGAUGGCAAGAAAGAGAUUGAAAAAAAAAAAGAAGAAAAAAAAAAGAAGAAGAAAAAAGAAAGAAAGAAAAAUAUACGGAGAUAUGGUAAAAUUGUUUGUUUGCUGCUACUUUUUUUUUUUUUAUCUUUUUUUCCUUUCUUCUUUUUUCAUUUUCUUUUUUUUUUUUUUUUUUUUAUAUUUCGUACUACGUAUCGCACGCACACUUUGUAAUACUAUCUUUGGAAUAUGUCCAAGUCCUCUUAUUAUUUAUUGUUCCUCUUACGCGUUACGGUAUGCCGUUAGGUAUAUAAAACAACGCGUAUGAGGGGAGAGGUUAGAAUAGAAGUAAGAUAAAGGUAUAAAGUAAGGAACAAAUGGAGGAUUUCGAAGGAUCGACUCCGACGUUUCUCUUGCUAGCAGGAGAAGAACGAUAGGCUUACACUCUCGCCCACUCGAUGCCGAGCCGUCCUGUUUUCGUCGCGUUCUCUCUCUCUCUCUCUCUUUGUCUCUUUCUUUCUCUCUCUUUCUUUUCUCUUUAUUUUUCGUUUCCCAGCGAAUUAUACUCGGUGGCCGACAUCGGCGGUAAGUAAGAUCUCUUGGAGUGUUAUUUUCGCCGAGGCAAGCUUCGUCUCUCCUUUGCUGGCGUUAGUAUUUUUAUAGCUAGAAAGAGAGAGAGAGAGAGAGAGAGAGAGAGAGAAGGAGAGAAGAAAAAGAAAAAGAAAGAAAGAAAGAAAGAAAGAAAGAAAGAAAGAAAGAAAGAAGCUUCUCUACUAAAGCUCUCUUCUUCUUUUUUAAAGCUCUCUCCCUUCUUACUUCUCGUCUACUCGUAUAUACGCCUAUAUGCGUGUCCAUCUUUGCUUACCUCUCUUACCCUCUCGCGUAUCUUCUAAAUUAUGACAGUCUCCUUCGCGUCUUCGCACACGUACCCGCGUUAAAGUAAGAAAGUAAGUAAGAAAGUGCCACUGGCUAUAUACAGUUGCCAGCUCAGCCUGGAGAUAUCGCUCGAGGGUGCGUUACGUGAAGAAUUUAAGCAUCUCUCUCGCACGGCUACAAGACUCGAAGAGACUCGAGGAAAUAUAUAGCUAGAGAGAAAAGCUCCUUGAGAUCCGAUUUCGACUUAUCUCUCUCUCUCUCUCUCUUUCUGUCUAACCCCUACCCUUUUUCUCCCAUAUUGUUGUUUUUCUUUUAUAUCUUUUUUUUCUUGUUUCAUUUUUUUUUUCCCCACUCAACGAAUUCACUCGAAUUUCAUCGAUCUAUUUAAUCCGCAUACGUGUACUUAAAUCGACGAUAUUUAAAAAAAAAAAUUGCUUGUCCAUUUUCGAUCUUCAAUUUGUGUAUCAAUUUGAUCGUUCGUAAGAUUUUUUUUCUUUUUCUUUUAUCGGAAUGUUGUUCUGUAAUCGUUACUGCAAACUCCUCGGUAUAUCAAAGAUUCCGAAACAAGAAUUGAAAGAUAAUACGUAAAAGGAAAUAAGAAAUGAGUUCUUCGAGAAAUUUGAAAUUUUCGUUUGAAGGAAUAUUGCAAUCUUUUACUAUUUCAUAUUUAAUUUUAUUUAUUUUAAUUGUUUAUCUGUAAAUUAUUAUUAUAUUUUAAUUUAUUACUAUAUAUAUAUAUACAUGGUAUAGUUUAUCAAUUACUAUAUUUUAUUAAUUAUUAAACCAAUAUAUAUUUUUAUUUAUAUAAAUUAACUUACGAGUUGAUCAAAUUGCGUUUCAAGAAAGGUGACAAGUUUAAAUAAAACGAUGAUACUUAGUCGAGUAGAGAUCGUAAUCUUCGAGAGAUACCUGUCGAUUAGAUUAGACUUAGAAGUUCUUCGUUCCUUAUCGUAAAUUCCAAUUUACGAGCACGUAAUAUAUAAAAGUUGUUCUCGAUUAUUAUCUUUUUUUUUUGUUUCUUCUUUUUUCUUUCCUUUUUCUUCUGGAAUUAUAUGAAAGAUUACAUCCACGACAUUAUUUUAUCGCAUUUUUUUUCAAAAUUUCUCUUUUAGAGUUCAACGAUUUCCUUUUUUUAUUAUUAUUAUUAUUAGUAUUAUUAUUAUUAUCAAAUAUAAACUGAUUUUAAACAUUGGAACGAUAUAGAAAUACAAUGAUAAAGCAUAAAUCGAUGAAAGAAAACGAUACGUUGUGGCAAUGUAAUAUCAACAAUGAAUCAGAUAAUACGUCAUAAUGUAAACCGUCGGUAUCAUAAGUAUAUAAAAUAGAACUACGAUGUAUGAUGUAUCAUAAUUACUUACUUACUUACAUAAUUAUUGGUCAUCCUGACGAUUUAACAUAAAUCGUCCUCCAUUUAUAUAUUCUACCUGUCCAAUCUGUGACCCUGUCGUACAUCUUAUCCAUCUAACACAAAAGCAUUUACUUACAUACAUAUCUACUGUAAAUAUGAGAGUCAUAUGCGUAUAUACAUUUUACGUUCCGAUUCGAAAGAAACCCAAAGGUGCGCGCGCACUUGACGCAACACACUUCAUAUUUACUCAAAGAGAUAUCACGCGCGAGCCAUUUAAACCUUAACUCUCGUGUCACGCGUAUCGAAAAAGAGAGCAUGGUGUAAGUGCCGAGGGGUAGGGUGAGGAGACGUGUCUGGUGAUGGAGGGGUAGAAAGGAGGGAGACAAAGAGAGAGAGAGACAAAACUACGACUCCAUCCAUGAACUCAUAGAAACUCGUUCCUAUUCCUUUACGAAAGAGAGGGAUGAAGAGAGAGAGACAGAGAGAGAGAGAGAGAGAGAGAGAGAGAGAGAGAGAAAGAGAAAGAGAGAGAAGGAGAGAUGUUAUCGAGUCUGAAAUCCAAGUCCUCCUUGCGAUAAGAACGACAAAGCGUUUAUGCAAAUGUUUGGAUAACGUUGCACGACUCUUUGCUACCAGAACGCCGCUUCUAUGCAAAUUCCACGUCGACCUUUCUUUCUUCCGAGACUUCCGAGAGCCGUCGGGCAAAACGAGAUUCAACACUAUGGAGAGAAGCCAUCUCGCCGCUCGUUUCUUCUUCUUUUUUCUUUUCUUUUUUUUGUUUGCUUUUUUUUUCCUUUAACGUAAGCAUUAACUAUACCAUUAAUUGUCCAAUAAUAAACGUAUAAAAUGCUAUUAAUUAGUUAUGGUGAAACAAUUCGUAUACUCGUAUAUAAAAUUUUUUUCUUUUUUCUUUUAUUCGAUUAAUUUAUCUUAUUUUCAAUUAGUCAUUUCAAUUUUUUCAAUUUUCUCAUAAUUAAUUCGUUUGAAUGAAUAGUCAUCUUAAUUGUACAUUUUAGAUACGUGAAUGAUACAACAACGAAAAAAAAAUAAGAAGAAAAAAAGGAUUGUACUGUGAUCAUUUUCACGUUAAACUCUUGCGCUUAUUAGAGCGUAUACUUUUAAUCAGUUUUAAAUGUUACGUUAUAAGAAAUCUUUUAAAAAGUUUUAUAAUUGUAAAUUUUUAUUUUUAUUUUUUAUUCUUUAAUUUUUUGUUUAUAAAAGUAAUUAUCGGUCAUCGAUAACAACCCUCUACGGUAUUCAACGUGUUAAUGUUGCAUAAGUUUUUUACUGGGCUAAAAAGAAGAUAGAUAAAAAAAUAAAAAGAAAGAUAAAUAAAUAAAUAAAAAAAAUAAAUAAAUAAAUAAAUGAAAAAGAAUUGUUGAAAUCUCGAAAAGUUAAAAAAUUGAUCAGCUAUCGUAGUGCGCAUCGAACUUCGGACGUCAUUUCUGCAGUUGCUUUUCCAAAUGGAAGCCAAUCGAAAUCGUAGCAAACUUUCAUAUAAAACUUAUUUCGGUUCGCGUUGAGAAAUGUUUCUUUUUUUAUUUAUUAUUUUUAUUUAUUUAUUUUUUUUUUUUUUUUUUUAUUUGUUAAGAAAAGUUUCGGAGAAGAAGAGUAUAGAUAUACAUAUAUAGUAGUAGAUCGAGAAUUCGAAGCUUUUCGAAGUAGUACUUCGAAUAGAAAAUGAAAUCGGGAUGGGAAAACGUUUUCUGUUACGUGUGGGAAUAUAACCUUCGAAUUUGUUACGAAAGUUUUUACGAAUGAAAGUAAAAAAGAAAAAAAAAAGAAGGAAAGAAGAGAAAAAAGAAAUCAUGCGUUUCGAUAUUUCGUACGUUUAGUUUGACGUUAGUAAGAAUAUAUAAGCGUGAAAAAUUAUCAUUAUCUUGAUAGCAUUCGUCCUUGUCUCGUCUAAAAACGAUAAUGUGUUCGGCCUCUCGGAAGAAAGAUCGCACACCAAACAUGGAUAUCAUUUUAAAACGUUCGUCAAUGACGCACGAACGAAACUACGAGUAUUACGCGAGCAAAAUACAUAUAUGUAUGUAACUGAGUAAAUACGUGAAGAAGAAAAAAAAAAAGAAAGAAAAAGAAAGAGUAAAAAAAGAAAGAAAGAAAGAAAAAAGAAACUAGAAGAGAUCUAGUUAAGUAUUACAUAAUUAGAUUUUGAUGAACCUGCAUAUUCUCUUUCUGCAUUUUCAUUAUCAAUUUUAUUCUUACGUAAAGACUUAAUUACUAAGAGUUAUAUGUAAUUUACGAUCGUCGUUCGAAUUUCGUGAGUUAGCUGCAAAGGAGAAUAAAAAGCAAAAAAAGGAAAAAAAGAAAGAAAACAACAACAACAAUCAUGAAUACAACGUUUUACGAAAGGGAUCGGACAUUGGGGGAAAGACAAAAAAGAAGAAGAAGAAAAUAAAAAGAGAUAACGAAGAUUCGCUCGAUGGAUAGCGGAAAAGCCGAUGAUAGAGAAGAGAAAGAAGUAGAAAAGGGGAUAGUAGGGAGGGGGGAGGGUUGAGAAAAAAAAAGAAAAGAGAAGGAGGAGAAGAAGAAGAAGAAGAAGAAAGAAAGAGAGAAGAAAAUCGAGGGCGGAAUUGCUUCUCCAUCUUGGCACCGACUAUUAUUUUUUCUUUUUCCUUUCUUUCUUUUCUUUUCUCCCACUCUCACCCUUACCCCACUCAUGACCCCUUACCCCAUUACCUCCCCCCGUCCAUUUACUUUUCCCCGUCCUACCUCUUCACGCUCGAGGCGUAGUUCAUAGAACUAGGUAUUUCGAUCUUUUUAUAGAAAACUGCUAUUGAAUAUCGCAUAAAAUAUAUAGAUUUCGACAAAUGGUCAGUUUCUCGUUCUCCAUUUGGAAAACCUAUAUUAUCAUACGAGUAUCCUUUCAAUGAAGGAAACUUAUUUUCAGACAAGCAAUGAAAAACAAUUUAGAAAGAAAAAAGGAAAAAAAGGAAUAAUCCAUUGAACAUUUUAAUCGAACGCCAUCCAAACCCCAUACAUAUCACCAUACGAAUAUCAACAAAAAAAAAAGAAAAAGGAAAAAAAAGGAAGAGAAAAGGAAGAAGAAAAAAAGCCGCGACGGGAUUCUUUCUUCAUCUUCGCCAUUUUGUCUUCUCUGGCGAUAGGAAACAAAACAAAAAAGAAAGAAGGACAGAGAUAAAGAGAAAAAAGAAAGAGAAAAAAAAAAGGAAGAAGAAAAUGGUAUAUAUCCACUGGUGGUGGAAGUAGCUGGGAAAGAGAACUCCAAACAUUAUCCAGUCAGCCAAGAGGCACCCGUGUAAACAAAGAGAGAGAGAGAGAGAGAGAGAGCAAGAGAGAUAGAGUGGAAAAGGAAAUCCGAAAAGGUGGACACAAAACGAAGAGAAUCGCGAGGGUUGGUUCACUACCCCUCUGUUGCCUACUUAGACCCGCACGCGUACGUACGUACCAUACCUUGUCGAGAAAGAGAAAAAGAAAGAAAAACACACUGGUUGAAAGAGAAACGGAAGAAAGAGAGAGAGAGAGAGAGAGAGAGAGAGAGAGAGAGAGAGAAAAGGUCUAUAUAAAGAAGGAAAGAGAGGGAAGGAGGAAAAUAAAGGUACGGGCAAACCAACCCCAGGCACAGUCACAUCAAAGGCGCCAUGGACGAAAUAGGAAAGCUGCAAAUGCGCGAAAAAGAAUGGGUUAAAAACCCGAGGCGGCAGGGGCGAUGCAGCCUCUGGCCCUUUUCCUACCCUUCCUCUUCUACUUCGUACAUCCCCCUUUGUAACCUCUCCUCCUUCUUCCACUCUUCCCUAUGCCCCUUCUACCCGGUCCUUUUCACCUAGCUAACUUGAAGUGGAACAGACUCGUGAUGGUUGUAGUUGUGUUGGUGGUUCCGGUGUGAGGAGGUAACAGGGGCAAGAGGGCCGAGAGGGGAGGGGGAAGAACUAAAGGAGAAGAAGCUGGGAUUCCGGUGGAAAACUUUUCGAGGACGUUGAAGGACCUUAAAUGAAAACAUUCCGCCCUCAAAGCAGCACCCCUCCAACGGACAUGGUGCUGCUCUCUUUUCGAUUAACGCGCUUUUCGCGUUCUUCUCUCACGAUUAUAUACUCUUCCUAUGUAAGCCUAUCCAAACUCUCUCUCUCUCUCUCUCUCUCUCUCUCUCUCUCUCUCUUUAUUUAUUUAUCUCUUUCUCUCUUCCACUCUUUCACUUUUUCUGGCUAAGGAUUCUUUCGAAUUUCCCGUCUAUGGUCCUUCCUACAUGACCAUGGUAAUCAUAAAUAAGUAAAUUCCAAAACUCCUACGAUGAUCUUUGAUGAUUUCAUUUUAUUGAACGUUAAUCGUUUUAUUAUUCUUUAUUUAAUGAUAGUUUCAACCUACGUUUCGUAUAAGUUAGUAUAAUAAGUACUCGCAGACGUUGGCGGCCAUAAAUUCUUCAAGAUGAUAGUAGAAUGGAUAAGUCCUUUUAUUUUUUAUUAGUAUGUUUAUUUUCAGUGAAAAUGUGUUACAAGAUAGUAUUGAUAGUUAUCAGAUUGCUAUAAUUAUUUACAAAUAAUAAAAUCUGUGUUAAUGAAAUCAUUGGGUUUAUGUAUAGUAUUUAUAUAAAUGCGAAAUAUAAAUUGUGUAGACGAAAUUGAAAUGUAUUAUUAAAUUUAAAAUAAAAAAAAAAAAAAAAAAAAGAAAACAUUAUAGAGAUUUAAUGGAAUGUCUCGUUUCGAUUUAUCAACAAAAUGAAACGUUUUAAAUAUGUAUCUUUAUAUCCAUAUCGAUGCGUUUUGAUUCAUACGUGUAUACGUAUGUGCAAGUAAAAUGGUGUCAUACACACAUUACGAAUAAUAAUUCAAUAUGAUAAUUCCACUUAAUGGAUAUUUAAUUUUAUCCAUUUGAGUAUAAAACAACUUAUCGUUAAAUGGAUUACCUUCAGUUUUCACUAUUUACAAGUAAUCAUGACGACGAGAGAAUUAACGUCGCCAUUGAUUUCGAUACAGAUUUUAUUUAAUAAAAAUUAUUAACGCUCGUUUAUAUUUUUAUCCUUGUAAGGGAAAUUUAAUCGAAUAGAAAGAAAACUUUCAUCGCGUAUGUCAUUUAUGGUUUACCACCGUGGAUAUAUAGUUUUUGUUCGUCACGAUGAAUCGUAAGCUUUCGUAAUUUUUGAAAUUCGCAAUGACGAGUCGCAAUAUCGCAAGUUUGAUUCGACGAAGCGUAGGCUUUGCUUGCUUGCGAGAACGUUCGUUUCAUUCUCAUUACCAGAAGUAGCGUCGAGGAGAAAGAAAAGAGGGAGGACGACUUCAAAUUGGCGCAAUUACGACUUUAAACGGCUCUCAUCCUCCCUCUUCCUCCUUCUCUUUUUCCUCCUCCUCUACCUUCUUCUCCAUCUCAUCCACCUCAUCCUUCUUUUUCCUCUUCCUCCUAUUUCUCCUCCGUUCUCUUCCUCCUUUUUCUUCUGCGCUCUUAUAGCCCUUCGCUAUUCUGUGUCUCUUCGUGCCAUCCGAGUUACGGAGCUUUUCUACUAGAUUGUUGCUUUAAACUUUCAUCCGUCUAAAAUCCGUUAACUUUUCUACGACUCCCUCCGAGUGAGUCAUUUAUUUUACACAGUAUAUAUUUCAUUUAAUACUUGAGAUCUUCGAGUACUUUAGUAAUACAUAUUCUGUUAUUGACGAGAGAGAGAGAGAGAGAGAGAGAGAGAGAGAGAGAGAAAGAAAGAAAAAAUGGAAGAAAGGCAAUAUCUUUUUUGUCUUUUUUUCUUUACGUGUAAUGAUAGGCACAUAACGUGAAGAAAAAAAUGACGGAGAUAAUAAAAAUGAGGAAUUAGUAAAUAAUUCAAUUGUUUAUUCUUCAUUCUUCUACACAUAAUAUUAUUAUGAAUUAUGGAGACAUGUAAAAAUGACUAACCAAUAAUAAUUUAAUUUUUUUAUUCUUCCUUUUUCCUACAUAAUGUUAAUGUAUAUAAUUUUAUAAGAAUAAUAAUUAGUAUGUAUAUAUAUAUACUUACUUCUGUUGGUUAUUUAUUUUAUUAUGUAAAAGAUUGUAAUAGAUAAUUACCUUACAUAUACAUAAUUGAUGUCCGUAUAUGCGUACAUAAUCGUUUCAUUAUUAUUCUAAUGAUAUUCAUUUGUCGAAUAACUGUAUACCCUCGCUUAAAAUAAUAUCAAAAUUUAUGACUUGUUUGCUUAUAGCUUUGAUUUUCAAAGACAAACAAUACUUUUAAUAAUAAUUUAUAGCAUAUAAUUAUAGAAUAUUUGUCAUUCUCAACAUAACGACUACGGUCCAUUGUGUGUUUUCGUUAACCCUUAAAUUCAUGCGGAAUUAAAUUACCAACAAAAUAUCGAUUCUUUAAUGUAAUUCACUUGUUCUAACUGAGUUCAUCGAAUUUCGUAAAAAAAAAAAAAAAAAAAGAAAGAAAAAAAAAAAGAACAAAUUAUAACAAAAUAAUAUUUUAAUUUAUUUUCACGCUUUUCGUUUUAACAUUUUUACUCGCAAUAGUUAACCAUAAUAUAAUUUUAAUCGAAUAAAUUUCGGACAAAGGAAAAACAAGAAAAAAUAUAAAUAAAUAAAUAAAAAAAUCGCGUCAAUUAUAAAGAUUUGAACAGAUCGAAAGAAGGAUUAGAAUCGUCAAAGGAACGGAUGGAAAGCGAUUAGAACACGUGUCGUCCCACGACAUGUCGUUAAUCUUUCAUUUCCAGGGGUUCCCAAGACACCGGAAGUCGAUUCUGCCGAUGUCAUUGCCUGAUAGUCGUCGCGGCCAAACUAUCUCGAAAUUGGCUCGACGAAAUAGACGAGUAGACUUUUCUUCUAGACGAGUAGGUAUGUGUAAUGUGUGCAUAUGUGUGUACGUAGGUACGUACGUACAAUACACACAUACAUAAAUAUACACAGAUGUCAUAUCUCGUAUGUCUCUUAUCGAUUCGUCUUCCCGCAUGUGCAUUUUCUUUUCGAUUGUUUCGACAACAAAUAAGUGUCAGUACACACGUAUAUGUAUGUAAAGAGGUAUGAGUAUACACAUAUACUCAUCCGAGUAAAAAAAAAUAAAAAUAAAUAAAUAAACAAAAUAAAAAAGAAGAAGAAGGAAAAAAAGGGAAUGGGUAGGUGUUUGUCUCUGGAAAUGAAACAUUCAGUAGAAUCGUAGAUUCUCUGUGUAUAGAAGAAGAAGAAAAAGAAAAAGAAGGGGAUAUAUAAGAGAAAAAAGGAAUGAUACGCGGAAAGCCGCAGAAGCAACCGAGCGUGGAAGAAGCGGAUCAUAAAGAAACAUCGUCGUCGUCGUCAUCCUCUCGGCCUCUGUCUCUGCCACUGUCGUUCGCGUGCGACAUUAUUUUUUCAUUUUCAACUUAUCCUUUGCUUUCGUCGUAGGAAGCUCGGAAAAGCCGAAUGGUAGAACGAGGGAUAUGAUACAUAUGUAUAAGCCGAGUGCAGUGUGCCAAUUCUAGAAAUCCUGCCGUUAUCUCUCAGUUCAAAGUGUGUGGAAGGAAGAGGAAAUGACGAAAGUGGGAGAAAGAGCGAGAGCGAGAGGGAGAGAGAGAGAGAGAGAGAGAGAGAGAGAGAGAGAGAGAGAGAGAGAAA